rnacentral:rRNA from 1 species
UACAGAGGUGGCAAGCGUUGUUCGGAAUUACUGGGCGUAAAGGGCGCGUAGGCGGCCUGUUAAGUCGGACGUGAAAUCCCUCGGCUCAACCGGGGAACUGCGUCUGAUACUGGCGGGCUUGAAUUCGGGAGAGGGAUGCGGAAUUCCAGGUGUAGCGGUGAAAUGCGUAGAUAUCAAGAGGAACACCUGCGGCGAAGGCGGGUUGCUGGGCCGACACUGACGCUGAGGCGCGAAAGCUAGGGGAGCGAACGGG